rnacentral:rRNA from 1 species
UACGUAGGGCGCAAGCGUUGUCCGGAAUUAUUGGGCGUAAAGAGCUCGUAGGCGGCUUGUCACGUCGGAUGUGAAAGCCCGGGGCUUAACCCCGGGUCUGCAUUCGAUACGGGCAGGCUAGAGUGUGGUAGGGGAGAUCGGAAUUCCUGGUGUAGCGGUGAAAUGCGCAGAUAUCAGGAGGAACACCGGUGGCGAAGGCGGAUCUCUGGGCCAUUACUGACGCUGAGGAGCGAAAGCGUGGGGAGCGAAUGGG